rnacentral:misc_RNA from 1 species
GGCAGCUCCUGGUGUCUCACUGCGCUUCCACCCCCCCCCCCACAUACCCCCAAUGAACGUUUUCGUUUUAUAGGCAGCGAUUUCUCCGGUGCCGUGGCUGCGUUCGUGUACGCAUCAUGAGCCUCCUUGUGUGCAGCGAGGAGUGCAGCCUCGCCGAGUUUUCGCAAAAACACCAGCUGAGCCCGCAUACCCUGUGGCUCCCCCUGAGGGCGGCCCUUCCGUCACGUGCAGGUGUCAAGUCCACUGUCGCGGUUGAUCCUCGCACGCCCAUCGCGCUGCUGGAGACCGCCACGGACACCAUCCUCCUCGAUAAACGCGCCAUCUGCGUCAAGCUGCAAGUCGCCAACGCUGUCAGAUGUGAGGAGACGACGGUCGUGGUUGACCCUGCAGCGGUACCCGCAGGCUGCGAGGUGUUUGUGCGCUGGAGUAGACCAGGUGGUAAAAAGCUGCGGGCCAACACGCUAGUGCUUCACUACGACGUGCAGAAUGCGACCGACACCUUGGCUCGCAGCUCCGUUAGCAGGCUGAAGCGGAGUCGUGUGGACGACAACGACAGCAGCGUCGGCGCGUCCUCGCUGGCAGGAUCGCUUCAGGGAAAGCAGAGCAGACUCUCUCUGGUUCAACAGAGCACGGAAGACCUCCAGCGUCGUCUCAGCGCCGCAGUCGGCGCGCUAGGUGGCCAGCUCAGUCCCCGUUCUACGCAGAUUCUGCAGUCUACACUGGCCAGCAUGCGCCAUCGCCAGACCCAGCCGCCGCUGCAUUUUGUGAUGCCGUCCGACGCGACAGUGCUGGAAGCGGCGGGUGUCACGUGGGCCAGGUCGAACCGGCGCAUCUUAUCCCGCGUUUUCCGCUCCGCCACCUCAGAAGAGAGGUCGGAGGCGUCCAAGUACAGCGACGGCUCGCGCCAGCUGCGGUUCUACUUUAUCGAAGACGUGCUACUGCGCCGAACACGCGAGUGGACGGCGGCGGCGGCGGCGGCUCGGCGCCACAUCGACGAAGAUGGUACAACAGGAAGGGGUACGCCACCGGAGGAGGAGGAGGAGCUCUUGCUCAAGGAUGAAGUUCUGGCGGACAUGAACACCUUCGCUGAGCGCGGCUUCCGCAUCGUCUUCCUCGAGCACUACCCUGUACUGCACCACGGCAGUCGCUACACGGUGGAGCAGACGUUGGCGCCGGUGGUGCGGCUGUGUCGCAAGGGGUGCCCGAACCUCACUGUUACGGUCGUUCUUUCCGCCAUGUCUUGUGUAACUGCGGCGCAAAAGCAAGGGCUGGAGCUGUCCCUGGUGCUUCCGCAGGCCGGUCUGCUGACUUUCUUCAUUUCGGAGCUGAACACGUCGUUUUUACCAGACCCUAAGACGGCAGCCGUGGUCGGGAGCAGCGAUCGGGGCUCCGAAUUUCUUAACAAGCUGCACGUCGAGUUUGCACGCAACGCGUCACUGACCUACGUGGACGAGAAGGAGCUGCGACGCCAGCGGUAGUAGUGUACCUGUCUUGUGCUAGGAAACGAAGAGGGACAUCCUCUCUCCGGUGAUGGGCGCGCGCUAUGUGAACACCUGCGCGCGCCGUUGCAGGCGGUUGCAAGGACCUGCUGGCCAAGAAGUACCGGCUGCUCUUCCUUAUCGGCACAACGUGCCGUAAU